rnacentral:rRNA from 1 species
GCCAGAGGCGUAAGCACGAUGAAAGUACCAGUCCCUAAUCACCCUAAUGGAUCACUGAAGGUAAGCAACGUCGCGCGUGGUUAGUAUCCGGAUGGGUGACCAUCUGGGCCAUUAUUUGCUACUGCGU